rnacentral:rRNA from 1 species
GAUGAACGCUAGCUACAGGCUUAACACAUGCAAGUCGAGGGGCAGCAUUUCAGUUUGCUUGCAAACUGGAGAUGGCGACCGGCGCACGGGUGAGUAACACGUAUCCAACCUGCCGAUAACUCGGGGAUAGCCUUUCGAAAGAAAGAUUAAUACCCGAUGGUAUAAUCAGACCGCAUGGUCUUGUUAUUAAAGAAUUUCGGUUAUCGAUGGGGAUGCGUUCCAUUAGGCAGUUGGUGAGGUAACGGCUCACCAAACCUUCGAUGGAUAGGGGUUCUGAGAGGAAGGUCCCCCACAUUGGAACUGAGACACGGUCCAAACUCCUACGGGAGGCAGCAGUGAGGAAUAUUGGUCAAUGGGCGCAGGCCUGAACCAGCCAAGUAGCGUGAAGGAUGACUGCCCUAUGGGUUGUAAACUUCUUUUAUAUGGGAAUAAAGUUUUCCACGUGUGGAAUUUUGUAUGUACCAUAUGAAUAAGGAUCGGCUAACUCCGUGCCAGCAGCCGCGGUAAUACGGAGGAUCCGAGCGUUAUCCGGAUUUAUUGGGUUUAAAGGGAGCGUAGGUGGACAGUUAAGUCAGUUGUGAAAGUUUGCGGCUCAACCGUAAAAUUGCAGUUGAUACUGGCUGUCUUGAGUACAGUAGAGGUGGGCGGAAUUCGUGGUGUAGCGGUGAAAUGCUUAGAUAUCACGAAGAACUCCGAUUGCGAAGGCAGCUCACUGGACUGCAACUGACACUGAUGCUCGAAAGUGUGGGUAUCAAACAGGAUUAGAUACCCUGGUAGUCCACACAGUAAACGAUGAAUACUCGCUGUUUGCGAUAUACAGUAAGCGGCCAAGCGAAAGCAUUAAGUAUUCCACCUGGGGAGUACGCCGGCAACGGUGAAACUCAAAGGAAUUGACGGGGGCCCGCACAAGCGGAGGAACAUGUGGUUUAAUUCGAUGAUACGCGAGGAACCUUACCCGGGCUUAAAUUGCAUUUGAAUAUAUUGGAAACAGUAUAGCCGUAAGGCAAAUGUGAAGGUGCUGCAUGGUUGUCGUCAGCUCGUGCCGUGAGGUGUCGGCUUAAGUGCCAUAACGAGCGCAACCCUUAUCUUUAGUUACUAACAGGUCAUGUUGAGGACUCUAGAGAGACUGCCGUCGUAAGAUGUGAGGAAGGUGGGGAUGACGUCAAAUCAGCACGGCCCUUACGUCCGGGGCUACACACGUGUUACAAUGGGGGGUACAGAAGGCAGCUACCUGGUGACAGGAUGCUAAUCCCAAAAGCCUCUCUCAGUUCGGAUCGAAGUCUGCAACCCGACUUCGUGAAGCUGGAUUCGCUAGUAAUCGCGCAUCAGCCAUGGCGCGGUGAAUACGUUCCCGGGCCU